GAAAUGCGAUAAGUAAUGUGAAUUGCAGAAUUCAGUGAAUCAUCGAAUCUUUGAACGCACCUUGCGCUCCUUGGUAUUCCUUGGAGCAUGCCUGUUUGAGUAUCAUGAAAUCUUCAAAGUAAAUCUUUUGUUAACUCAAUUGGUUUCUACUUUGGUAUUGGAGGUCUUUGCAGCUUCACACCUGCUCCUCUUUGUUCAUUAGCUGGAUCUCAGUGUUAUGCUUGGUUCCACUCGGCGUGAUAAGUUAUCUAUCGCUGAGGACACUGUAAAAGGUGGCCAAGGUAAAUGCAGAUGAACCGCUUCUAAUAGUCCAUUGACUUGGACAAUACUUUUAUGAUCUGAUCUCAAGUCAGGUAGGACUACCCGCUGAACUUAAGC
rnacentral:misc_RNA from 1 species